GGUUCUGGCAUCGAUGAAGAACGCAGCGAAAUGCGAUAAGUAAUGUGAAUUGCAGAAUUCAGUGAAUCAUCGAAUCUUUGAACGCACAUUGCGCCCAUUAGUACUCUAGUGGGCAUGCCUGUUCGAGCGUCAUUACGACCCUUAAGCCUAGCUUAGUAUUGGGAACCUACGUGCGGCAGCUACCCUGUAGCUACCCUGUAGCUCCUUAAAGACAACGGCGGAGACGUGGAGUCCUCUGAGCUUAGUAAACUUUUUCUAGCUUCUGAAGGCGCCGCGGCCCCUGCCGUAAAACCCCCCAACUCUUUAGUGGUUGACCUCGGAUCAGGUAGGAAUACCCGCUGAACUUAAGCAUAUCAAUAAGCGGAGGAAAAGAAACCAACAGGGAUUGCCUUAGUAACGGCGAGUGAAGCGGCAACAGCUCAAAUUUGAAAGCUGGCCUUCGGGUCCGCGUUGUAAUUUGUAGAGGAUGCUUUUGGUUAGGUGCCUUACGAGUUCCCUGGAACGGGACGCCUUAGAGGGUGAGAGCCCCGUACGUUUGGUUACCGAGCCUCUGUAAAGCUCCUUCGACGAGUCGAGUAGUUUGGGAAUGCUGCUCUAAAUGGGAGGUAAAUUUCUUCUAAAGCUAAAUACCGGCCAGAGACCGAUAGCGCACAAGUAGAGUGAUCGAAAGAUGAAAAGCACUUUGAAAAGAGGGUUAAAUAGCACGUGAAAUUGUUGAAAGGGAAGCGUUUAUGACCAGACUUUUUCC
rnacentral:rRNA from 1 species